UACAGGGGGGGCAAGCGUUGUUCGGAAUUACUGGGCGUAAAGGGUUCGUAGGUGGCCAACUAAGUCAGACGUGAAAUCCCUCAGCUUAACUGGGGAACUGCGUCUGAUACUGGAUGGCUUGAGUUUGGGAGAGGGAUGCGGAAUUCCAGGUGUAGCGGUGAAAUGCGUAGAUAUCUGGAGGAACACCGGUGGCGAAGGCGGCAUCCUGGACCAACACUGACACUGAGGAGCGAAAGCCAGGGGAGCAAACGGG
rnacentral:rRNA from 1 species